GUAUCCUUCGCGAAUGAUCCGAAUCCUGAACACGCUCCGACGUUGCCGCUCGCCGCUUCCCUAGGGAUGCCGCUGGCUCGUUACGCAUGUGUCCUCAAAAUUCGGUCUGAUCGAAGCGCAACCAUGAAGCCACGGAAAUCUGUGGCUUUUGU
rnacentral:ncRNA from 1 species